GCUCAGGCCUCUAAUCCCAGCACUUUGGGAGGCCAAGGUGGGUGGAACAUGAGGUCAGGAGAUCGAUACCAUCCUGGCCAAAAUGAUGAAACUCUGUUUCUACUAAAAAUACAAAAAUUAGCUGGGAGUGGUGGUCUACGCCUGUUGUCCCAGCUACUUGAGAGGCUGAGGCAGGAGAAUCGCUUGAACCCGGGAGGCAGAGGUUGCAGUGAGCCAAGAUCAUGCCACUGCCCUCCAGCCUGGCGAGCAAGAGUCCGUCUCAAAAAAAAAUAAACAAAAAAUUUACUUUUAUUCAUGUAAUAAAUAAAUACAGGGUAAUGGGGUAAUGUGAUUUUUAUUACUAUAAUCAUCUAAAUACUAUUCACAGCUAUGCAAAAUAUCCUUUAAAAUGACCCUCUAUUGAUUUGGUAUUUAAUAACUGCUCCUACGUUAGUCUUACAUGUUAAAGUGGCUAAAUUGACAUGUAUUGCUCCUUCAACUUGUCCAUGUUUUUAAAGCCCCUUGGAUAUGACAAAUCAACAUUAAUCUGUACCUGCCUGAUCUUUUAUAUAGAUCUGUGAUUCCAUUUUUCAUGCCUUGUCUCAAGUUUUUUUUAUAACUUACAAUACAUGCUUGUGAGGAAACAUUCAGAAGUGAAGAUACAUAUUUUGAUGCCUCUGUGUGGUUCAACCACAUUUCUGCUAGCCCUAGCAAUUUUCAACUGACUGGUAGAAUGAAAAUCUGAUGAUCACUUUAUCAUGCAGAAUGUACUACAGGAGCCUGCCCUGGUUAGCUGAAAACACAAACUGAGAAGGUGUGCUGGCUACAUUGUAAUGGAGAUAAGAAGGAAGAUUCAUUGAUGCAUAAAGAGCAAAGAAUUGAAAAUAAAAAUAUCCCUGAUUCUAUUUCUGGUUUUCCCACCAAAUCCCUUAUUCUCUCUAUUAGCCUGCGAAAAGUGCCUAACAUCUCUGUAAAAUCAGGAGAUUGGAUUAUCAGAACUUUUAAACUGACAAACUAUAUUUUUGUUUUGUUCAGUUGAAAACUGAGUAAUUGUUUGUAAGGUAGCCUGGAUUUCUAGCUUCUUUUGAAAGAAAUGUCAGCAGGUGCCAAGAGUCCAUGUUCCUAUUCUUGCCACGUAUGGCAACAGUGUUUGCUCUCAGAAAGGGCUCCUCUAUCCUGUUACCACAUCCUAAUUCUCCUGAGUAAGAAACAUAGAGCUCAUUUUUGUUACUUACUUGCCUCUCUAUCUGUUUGCAACACAUAGUCUAAAUGAUAUCUUUGGUCCCUUCAUGUUCCAAAAUGUUUUGACUUUAUGAUGAUAUAUUUUUGUAAUCCUACAGUGACCUCCUGUUUCAGCAAAUCACACAGCUGGUAUAUAUCACUCCCUAGGUUUAAACCUUUGUAGUAACUACUGGCAACUUCCUAAAGCAGAAGGAUAUACGUUAUGAGAAUCUGAAUAUAUUUUAUUGUGACUAGGUAAGAGGUAGUUUGGUAUUGGUAAUGAAGGGGGACUGACAUGAGGUCCUGGAUUAAUAGACAUAGUUGCUGAUUGGUCCAGAGGAUAAAGGAGAGAGUUAUUACCCACAGUCUAAUGCAGCCUAAACAAGAUCCGAAUGUAGACAGCAUUCGAGAGAGGACGGGGGCAUUCUAUUGUGUUGGAGGCUCCAGCUCCUCAGCUGUGUGCGCCUCAAACCCACCUUGUAUCUGUGAGGAAUGUUAAUGAGUCAUGGGGUUAAACUCUUAUGUGUUGCUUGAUUGAAAACUUAGCAUUAAUGUUGGCUUUUUAAAUGCUAAUAAAAACUGUAAUUUAGCCUCUGAGAUUUAUGUAAAAUUACUGGCACCUUCCUUUCAGUUUUUGAAGAGAACGGAAUUAAGGUUAUCUAAUUUAAUAUUUGAUCUGUGUUUAGGGUCAUGUAAAUGAGGAAAUUCCAAAGAUGAUAAAAAUAGGAAUUAAAACAGUGCUUCAUAAUUGAGAAUAUUCUUUCUCCCUUCAGUUAAAGCAUAUAUUUGACUCAGGGGGCAGAAAAAAGUGACAGUCCCAUUUCAUAAGAAGAAACGAAAUGUUAUUUUGGUUACCAAUAUAAAUGGUUUCCUCUAAAUGCCUAAAAUGAUGCAACUAAUGGUGUCUACCAUUCAUUUCCCACAUAACUACCAGACUAUUUGAAACAUUUAAUUCAGAAAAUAUCAUUUCCUUAAAUAAAAUCUUAUUCUCUAUGUAUUUAGAACAAAAUCUAAAGUUCUUUAUCAUUAACUAAAACCCCAUUGAUAUCUUCCAAAAGGGAAAGGGAUGAUGGUGGCUUUAUGGUCAUUUCAAGUAUUAAUAGAACAGCUGUGCAUGGUGAAGGAUGUUCCUUUGCACCAUCAGAAAGUUCGCAUCACUGGUUCCUGGGCAUUAAAUGUCAGCAUAUCCCCAUUUCUUUCCAUUCUGACAACCAUACAUGUCCAAGUGUCUUCUAAGUAGCAUGCUACUGUACUCCCGUGUUUGUAAACAACUGGAGAGUAGGUGAGAACUGACCCCUGUCAGUCUCUCUGCUCCUAUCUUCUGUAUUCUCUGCCUUGUUUACUGGCUGUAGCAUUUUAUUUUCCAUUCCUCAAAGUCUAAAGUGUUUUAUGUGAUGAGAGUUUUGCAUUGCUUUUCACAUGGAAGUCUCAUUUUCAUCCUUCAAGGCUAAGCUAAAAUUUCCUUUCCUCAGAGUGGCUUUCACUGACCAUUCUUUCUAAGUUUAUUCAACUCAUCCUCAGCCCUUCCUGUGACAUCACUCUGUUGAUUUCUUCCACUACUUUUAAUGCAAUAAAAAAUGACAUAGUAAUGCAAUAAUAAAAAAAAAACUAUCUAUCUCCCUGCCUCAGGAUAAAAGCUGCAUGUGACCAGGAACGCCUUUUUUUCUUUCUAAAAAUUAUCACCUAAAAGGCAGAAAGUUAUCUUUCUCCUCCUCUAUGUCCUCUGUCUCUUCUCAUAAACUUUAUGUGUUCUUUAUAUUUUUAUCUCUAUUUGAAACAAAAGCCAGCGUCAUCAGUAGAGAAAGAUUUCCUGAAAAGCUUACACCCAUUUUGAAGAAACAGUGUACUUUUAUAGGGCACUUUAUAAAGAAACAGAUCCUUAAAACUGAAAUUCAAGUGUGCUGUGGUUUAAACGUGUCAUCUUGGAAACUCACGCUGAAAUUUGAUUCCCACUAUGAUUGCGUUUAAGGUGGGAGGUGAUUGGAUCAUGAAGGCACUUCCCUCAUAAAUAGAUAAAUACAUCUCAUUGGAGUAAGUGAAUUCUCACUCUUGCAGGAAUGGAUUCAUUUUCACAAGAGUUAAUUGCUAUAAAGUAAGCCCAGCAUUUCACAUGUGUCUCUUUGCAUACUUUCUGCUUUUGUGCCAUGUUGUAUUGCAGUGUGAAGCUCUCACCAGAAGAACAGAUGCAGGCACUAUGCUCUUGAACUUUCUAAUCACCACAAUUUUGAGCUAAAUAAACCUCUUUAUAGGACCUCAGAUCCCAGAGGUCCAAAUUUGUAUUCCCGCAAACCUCGCCACCAAGGGUUAAAGUGGUCUCAGUCUCUAAGUAAACUUGAAAGUCAGUCUAGGUCAUAAGGAAAGCAACUCUUAGCUGAGUCCUAGUGCUGAACUAGGCCUGGAGUCGGUGGACUUGGGGGGAAAAUGACAUACUAAGAUACCAGCUGGGGCACCCAAGGAAGUGCUGGCAUCAGCCCUUCUCUAACCCCAGGCUGCACAUCUCAGGACUCCAAAAGCAUACCCUUUUCUGCUCUUGAGGAGAGGAGAGGAGAGGGAAGAGUAGGAAGGACUUUGUCUUGCAUCCUGAAUACCAGCUCAGCCAUAGCAAGAUAGGGCACCUCUCAGAGUCAUAAGGCCCCUGUUCCAGGACCUAGCUCCCAGAUAACAUUUCUAGACACACCCUAGGCCAGAAGGAAACCUACUGCCUUAGAUAAAGGGCCCAGCACUUGCAGAAUUUAUCAUGUGCUAACUAAAGAGCCCUUGGGCCCUGAAUAACCAGCAAUGAUAUCCAGGUACUACAUCAGUGGCCUUAGAAGAGCCUGUAAGCUGUGCUGGCUUCAGGUGAGACUCAGCACAUUACCAGCUGUGGUGGCUAUGGCAUAAAAUUCCUUCUGCAUAGGAAAAGUAGAGGAAAAAGUAAAGGAGACUUUGUCUUGCACCUUAGGUACCAGCACAGCCACAGGUAGGUAGAGCACUAAGUGGGCUCUUAACGUCCAUGAUCCAGGAUUUGACUCACGGAUGGCAUUUCUGGCCCUGCCCUGGCCCAAAGGGGAGCCCACUGCCCUGAAGGGUGAGUCCCAGGCCAGGCAGCAUUCACCACAAGUUGACUUAAAAGCCCCUGGGCUUUAAGGGAAAAUCAGUGGUAGUCUGGCAGUACUCCUUGUGGCCUGGGGUGGUGGUGGUUCUAGGGUGAGACUCCCCUGGCUUUAGAAGGAGGAGAGAAAAGGGGGAAGCACUACCUCUUGUGGUUUGACUGCCAGUUCAGGCACAGUCCAAUAAAAUACCAGGUAGACUUCUAAGGUUUUUGACUCUAGUCCCUGACUCCCAGACGGCACCUGUGGAACCACCUAGGGCCUAGGGGAACUUGCUGCCCUGAAGGGAAAGACAGGCCUGGCUGGCUUUGCCACAGGCUAAUUACAGAGCCCCAAGAACCUGAGUAAACAUAGGCAGGAACCAGAGAGUGAUGACAGCAGCCCUUGGGCAAGACCCAGUGCUGUGCUGGCUUCAGGUCUGACCCAGUGCAGUCAUAGUGGUGGUAGCCACAGUGGUGCUUGUGUCAGUCACCCCCAGCUUCAGGUGGCUCAGAACAGAGAGAGAGACUCUAUUUGUUUGGAAGAAAGUUAAGGGAAGAGAACAAGAGUCUCUGCCUGGUAAUACAGAGAAUUCUUCUGGAUCUUGCUAACACCAGCACUCCAUGAGUCUGUGAGAACCACAGUGUUACUGGCUUGCCAUGUCCUCUAAAGCAGAUAUAGCUUAGAUCACAACACCCAAGUCCUUUCAAAUAUCAGAAGACCCUCCCCAAAACAGAUGACUACAAAAACGCCCAGACAGUGAACAGUACAAUAAAUACCUAACCCUUCAAUAUCCAGACACUCAAAAAUAUUUACUAGCUUUAACUCCAUCCAGGAAAACAUGACCUCACCAAUUAACUAAAUAAGCCACCAGGGACCAAUCCUGGAGAAACAGAGAUAUGUGAACUUUCACAAAGAGAGAAUUGAAAAUAGCUGUGUUGAGGAAACUAAAAGAAAUUCAAGAUAGCACAUAGAGAAACAAUUCAUAAUUCCAUUAGAUAAAUUUAACAAAGAAAUUAAAAUUAUUUUUAAAAAUAAAGUAGAAAUUCUGGGCAUGAAAAAUGCAACUGACAUACUGAAAAAUGUAUCAGAGUUUUUUUCAUAGCAGAAUGAAUCAAGCAGAUGAGAGAAUCAGUGAGCUUGAAGACAGGCUGUUUGAAAAUACACAGUCAGGAUGGGUGCAGUGGCUCACGCCUGUAAUCCCAGCACUUUGGGAGGCCAAGACAGGCAGAUCACCUGAGGUCAGGAGUUCAAGACCAGCCUGACCAACAUGGAGAAACACCAUCUCUACUGAAAGUACAAAAUUAGCCAGGAAUGGUGGCUCAUGCCUGCAAUCCCAGCCAGUCAGGAGACUGAGGCAGGAGAAUCACUUGAAACUAGGAGGUGCAUGUUGCAGUGAGCUUGGAUCAUGCCAUUGCAUUCCAGCCUGGGCAACAAGAGCAAAACUUUGUCUCAAAAAAAAAAAAAAAAAAAAACAAAGAAGAAGAGGGAAAAGAAAAAGAAAAAGAAAAUACACAGUCAGAGGAAACAAAAGAAAGAAUAAAAAAGCAUUCCUACAGGAUCGAGACAAGAGCCCCAAAAGGGUACAUCAAGAGUUAUUGGUCUUAAAAAGGAGGUAGAGAAAGAGACAGUGAUAGAAAGUUUAUUUAAAGAGAUAAUAGUAGAGAACUUCCCAAACCUAGAGAAAUAUAUCAAUAUCCAAGUAUAAUAAGGUUAUAGAACAUCAAGAAGGUUUAACCCAAAGAAAAUUACCCCAAAACAUUUAAUAAUCAGACUCCCAAAGAUCAAAAGUAAAGCAUUCUAAAAACGGCAAGAGAAAAGAUAUAAAUAACACACAGUUGGUCUCUAAUACAUCUAGCAGCAGAAUUUUCAGUGGAAACCUUACAGGCUAGGAGAGAGUGGCAUGACAUAUUUAAAAUGCUGAAGGAAAAAAACUUUUACUCUAGAAUAGUAUAUCUGGUGAAAAUAUCCUUUAAUCAUAAAAGAGAAAAAAGGGCUUUUCCAGACAAACAAAAGCUGAGAGAUUUUAUCAACACCAGACCUGUCCUACAAGACAUGCUAAAGAGAGUACUUCAAUCAGAAAGAAAAGGUUGUUAAUGAGCAAUAAGAAAUAAUCUGAAGGUAUAAAACUCACUGAUAAUAGUAAACACAGAAUACGAUAAUGCUGUAACUGUGGUGUGUAAACUACUUGUAUGCUAAGUAGAAAGAAGAAAUGAUGAACAAAUAAAAAAUAAUAACUAUAACAACUUCUCAAGACAUAAUCAGUACCAUAAGAUAUAAAUAGAAAUAACGAAAAGUUUAAGAGUGGGGGAUGAAGUUAAAGUGAAGAGUUUUUAUUAGUUUUCUUUUUCUUGUUUGUUUAUGCAAACAGUGCAAAUUUGUUAUCACGUUAAAUAAUUAAUUAUAAGAUAGUAUUUUCAAGUCUCAUGGCAACCUUAAACCAAAAAACAUACAAUGAAUACACACACACAAAAAAACAAACUAAAUUGUAUCACCUGAGAAAAUAACCUUCACUAAAGGAAGACAUGAAGGAAAGAAAGAAGGAAGAGAAGACUACAAUACAAUAAGAAAGUAAAACAAAAAUAAUGGCAGGAGUAAGUUCUUACUUACUAAUAAUAAUAUUGAAUAUAAAUGGACUAAACUCUCCAGUCAAAAUACAUAGAGUGGUUGAAUGGAUUACAAAAAACAAGAUCCAUUGAUCUGUUGCCUACAAGAUACACAAUUCACGUAUAAAGACACAUAGACUAAAAAAAAAAGGAGGGGGGGAUGGAAAAAAAUAUUAAAUGACAACAGAAACCAAAAAAGAGCAGCAGUAACUAUACUUACAUCAAACAAAAUAGUUUUCAAGACGAAAGCUAAAAGAAGACACAAAGAAGGUCACUAUAUAAUAAUAAAUGGGUCAGUUAAGCAAGGGGAUAUAACAAUUUUAAAUAUAUGUGCACCCAACAGUGAAGCACACAGAUAUAUAAAGCAAUCAUUAUUAGAGCUAAAGAGAGAGGUAGACUCCAAUACCAUAAUAACUGGAAACUUCAACACCCCACUUUCAACAUUGGACAGAUCUUACAGACAGAAAAUAAAGAACAUCUCACUUAAUCUGUACCAUAGACCAAGUAGAUCUGAUAAAUAUUUACAGAAUAUUUAAUCCAACAGCAACAGACAACACAUUCUUUUCCUAGGCACAUUGAACAUUCUCAAGGAUAGACCAUAAGGGGUCACAAAACAAAGUCUGAAGACAUUUAAAAAAACGAAGUAAUAUCAAGCAUCUUUUCUGACAACAAUGGAAUAAAACUAGAAACUAAUAACACGAGGAAUUUUGGAAAUUAUGCAAACACAUGAAAGUUAAACAAUAUGCUCCUGAAUGACCAGUACAUCAAUGAAGAAAUUAAGAAGGAAAUUGAAAAGCUUAUUGAAACAAAUGAUAAUGGAAACACAACAUACCAAAACCUAUGGGAUACAACAAAAGUAGUACUAAGAGGGACAUUUAUAGCUAUAAGUGACUACACGAAAAAAGAAGAAAAACUUUAAAUACACAAUCUAACAGUGCAUUAUAAAGAACUAUAAAAGCAAGAGCAAAUCAAACUGAAAAUCAGUAGAAAAAAUAAAUGAUGAUGAUGAGAGUAGAAAUAAAUGAAAUUGAAAGAAAAAACAAUAUGAAACAUCAAUAAAACAAAAAGUUGACUUUUUGAAGACAAAAUUGACAAAUAUUUAGCAAGACUAAGAAAAAAGGGAGAAGAUACAAAUAAAAUCAAAAUGAAAAUGGAGAUGUUGCAACUGAUGCUGCAGUAAUUAAAAGGAUCAUUAGUGGCUACUGUGUGCAACUGUAUGCCAAUAAACUGGAAAAUCUACAAGAAUUGUACAAAUUUCUAGACACAUACAACUCCCAAGGUUGAACCAGGAAGGCUGGGCAUGGUGGCUCACACCUGUAAUCCUAGUGCUUUGGGAGGGCAAGGCAGGUGGAUCACUUGAGGUCAGGAGUUUGAGACCAGUAUGACCAACAUGACAAAACCCCAUAUCUACUAAAAAUACAAAAAUUAGCCAGGUGUGGUGGCAUGCACCUGUAGUCCCAGCUACUCAGGAGCCUGGGGCACAAAAAUCACUUGAGCCCGGGAAGUGGAGGUUGCACUGAGUCUAGGUCACACCACUGCACUCCAGCCUGAGUGAAAAGAGCAAGACCCUGUCUCAAAAAAAAAAAAAAAAAAAAAAAUUAAACCAGGAAGAAAUCCAAAAUCUGAACAUACCAAUAACAGGUAACGAGAUUGAAACCUUAAUAAAAAGUAUCCCACUUAAGAAAAGCCCUGGACCCAAAACCUUCACUGCUGAAUUCUAUAAAACAUUUGAAGUAGGACUAAUACCAACCCUACACAAAGUAUGCUGAAAAACAGGAGGAGAGAAUACUUCCAAACUCAUUCUAUGAAGCUGGUGUUACCCUGAUACUGAAACCAGACACAGAUACAUCAAAAAUAAAAAAUAAAACUAAAGGCCAAAAUCUCUGAAGAAUAUUGAUGCAAAAAUCCUCAACAAAAUACUAGCAGACCAUAUUCAAACAAUAAAUUAGAAAAAUCAUCCAUCAUGACCAAGCAGGAUUUAUCCACGGGAUGCAAGGAUGGUUUGACAUGUGUAAAUCAAGCAAUGUGAUCCAUCAUAUCAGCAGAAUGAAGGAUAAACACUAUGUGAUAAUCUGAAUUAAUGUUGAAAAACAUUUGACAAAGUUCAACAUCCCUUCAUGAUAAAAACCCUCAAAACUGGGGAUAGAAGAAUCAUACCUCAACAUAAUAAAAACCAUAUAUGACAGACCAGAAGCUAGUAUCAUAAUGAAUGGGGAAAAACUGAAAUCUUUUCCUCUAAGAUCUGGAACACAACAAGAAUGCCCUGUCACCACUGUUAUUCAACAUAAUACUGGAAGCCCUCACUAGAGCAAUCAGAUAAGAGAAAGACAUAAGGGCAUCCAAAUUAGAAAGAAAAAAGUCAAAUUGUCCUUAUUUGCUAAUGCUAUAGUCUUAUAUUUGGAAAAACCUAAAGACUCCACCAAAAAACUAUUAGAAAUAAUAAAUUCAGUGAAAUUGCAGAAUACAAAAUCACCAUUCAAAAAUCAAUAGUAUAUCUCUAUGCCAAGAGUGAACAAUGCGAAAAAGAAUUUUAAAAAGUAAUCCAAUUUAAAAUAGCCAAACAUAAAAUUAAAUGCUCAGGAAUUAAUUUAAUCAGGAAGUGAAAAAUCUGUAUGAUAAAAGCUGUAAAACACUGAUGAAAGAAAUUGAAGAAGACAUCAAAAAAUAGAAAAAUAUUCCAUGUUUAUAGAUUAGAAGAAUCAAUAUUGUUAAAAUGUCCAUUCUACCCAGAGCAAUUUACAGACUCCAUGCAAUCUCUAGAAAAAUGCCAAUGACAAUCUUCACAGAAACAGAAAAAAACAAUCCUAAUAUUUAUAUGAAACCUCAAAAGGCCCAGAAUAGCCAAAGCUCUCCUAAGCAAAAAGUCAACUAGGGGAAUCCCAUUACCUCACUUCAAAUUAUACUGCAGAGCCAUAGUAACCAAAACAUCAUGGUACUGGCAUAACAGACAUAUAGAUCAAUGGAACAGAAUGGAGACCCAGAAACAAACCCACACACCUACAGUGAACUCAUUUUCAACAAAGAUGUCAAGAACAUGACAGGGGAAAAGGCAGUGUUUUCAAUAAGUGGUGCUAGGAGAACUGAAUAACCAUAUGAAGAAGAAUUAAAUUAGACCCCAUCUCUUGCCAUAUACAAAAAGCCAAUCAAAAUGAAUUAAAGACUUAAAUCUAAGACUUCAAACUAUGAAACUAGUGCAAUAAAAUGUUGGGGGAAAGUCUCCAGGCCAUUGGUCUGGGGCAAAAAUUUUUCCAGCAACACCCCACAAGCAUAGGAACCAAAACAAAAAUGGACAAAUAGAAUUAUAUCAAGUUAAAAAGCCUCUACACAGCAAAGGAUAUAAUCAAUAAACUGAAAAGACAACUCACAGAAUGGGAGAAAAUAUUUGCAAACUACCCAUCUCACAAAGGAUUUAAUAAAGGUGCUCAACAUCAUUAAUCAUCAGAGAUACGCAAACCAAAACUACAAUGAGAUAUCAUCUCACCCCAUUUAAAAUGACUUAUAUCCAAAAGACAGGAAAUAACAAAUGCUGGAGAGGAUGCAGAGAAAAGGCAACCUUCGUACAUUGAUGGCAGGAAUGUAAAUUAGUACAACCACUAAGGAGAACAAUUUGGAGGUCCCUGAAAUAACUAAAUUUGAGCUACCACAUGGUCCAGGAAUCCCACUGCUGGCUAUACAUCCAAAAGAAAAGAAGUAAGUAUACAGAACAGAUGUCUGCACUCCUACAUUUGUUGCAGUACUAUUUACAAUGGCUAAUAUUUGGAAGCAACUUAAGUGUCCAUCAGUAGAUGAAUGCCUGAAGAAAUGUGGUACAUAUACACAGUGGAAUACUAUUCAGCUGUAAAAAAAGAAUGAGAUUCUGUCAUUUGCAACAACAUGGAUGUAAUUGGAGGUCGUUACGUUAAAUGAAAUGUUAAAUGAAAAUAAGCCAUGGUUGUACAGAAAGAUAACCAUCGCAUGUUCUCACUUAUUUGUGGGAUCUAAAAAUCAGGAAAAUUGAACUCAUGGACAUAGAGAGUAGAAGGAUGGUUACCAGAUGGUGGGAAGGACAGUUGAGGGAUUGGAGGGGGAAGUGGGGAUGGUUAAUGGGUAAAAAAAAUUAGUUAGAAAGAAUAAAUGAGACCCACUCUAAUGUAAUAGCACAACAGGGUGACUAUGGUCAAUAAUAAUUUAAUUGUAAUUUUAAAGUAACAUAAAGAAUGUGAUUGGAUUGUUUGUAACACAAAGGAUAAAUUUCUGAGGCGAUGGAUACCCCAUUCUCCAUGAUAUACUUAUUUCACAUUGCAUGCCUGUGUCAAAACAUCUCAUGUACCCCAUAAAUAUAUACACCCGCUAUGUACCCACAAAAAUUAAAAAUUAAAAAAAAAAAGAUUUAAUAUCUACUCUCCUAGGUUUCAGACUUGCUUUGGGCUAGUUACUUCUUUCUUUCUGCUUCUCUCUCCUUUUGAAAUGCAAGUGUUUACCAUAUGCCUGCCCCACCAUUGUAUUUUAGAAGUCAAUAAACUUGUGUUUAGUUUUACAGGUCCACAGCUGGAAGGAGCUUUCCUUGAUUCUCAAAUGAGACUUUGGACUUUGGACUUUUGAGUCGGUGCUGAAACAAGUUAAGAUUUUUUGGAUUAUUGGGAUGGAGUGACUGUAUUUUGCACAUGAAAAGAACAUGAGUUUUGGAAGGGCCACGCUCUUCAUGCCUGUGUGUUUCCCGCACCCCUGGGAAGGCGAAGGGAAGGAGCUACAUUGUCAAGUGUGGUCCAGCAAGUAAGCAGGUCCUGAGCACCAAACAUAUCACAGGCACUCACUGCUUGGGCCCACCAGUCAACAGGAGCCUGCUAGAUACAGCCAUGUGCCACUCCAACCUCCCUGAGGGCAUGGCCUAUGCACUAUUUGAUUUUCAGCAUAUCAUCACGAACUCCACGGGCGUCAAGAAGCAAUGGGUGUGGAUGUAGAAGCAGCCCGGAUUGCAACUGUGGUGGUGUAUUCUUGAACUAUAUUGUUCUAUUGGUGGUUUCUAGCUUUCUUGCCUUUCUGACCAUGAUACGAGUAGCUCCCUUGAUGGGUUAGUUCUGAAGGUUCAGAGAGUCUCUCCUCAGGCCUACACAAGCUCACUACUGCUCACUUUAUGUGAUGUGGGCCUACACAAGCUCACUGCUGCUGUCUUUCUAACAUGUCUAUAUGUUCUUCAUUAACUCUAUUAGAUCACUUUCUGCUGAAAGAGAUCAGUGUGCUUUCUGUUUCCUGAACUCAACCUUGGGAAAAAUAAGCAUAAAAUAUGUAUACAACAAGUGAAGAACAUCAAAGCAGCCCUGAGAUGAAUUUUCUAGGUAGACCAUCAACUUCUUUGUCAUCAAAAGCCUCAAUUCAAGAGUGAUUCAAAUUAGUACUUUACUGAAAUUACUGAUCACUAUUUGUCACAUUACUUUAAGGCUGAUUAUGAAUAUUUGAAACUUCAUGUUAAGUGCCUCAAUACCAACAGACUACUGUACUUGUUUAAUUUAAAUUUGAAAGCUAUCAUAAUUUCAAUAAAGGAAACACAGUGUAAACAAUAAGGAGUAAGACAAGCAUAUUCAUAUAAAACAUUUAGUUGCUAUUUUUUACUAUUAAAUUAUAUGACAUAACACACCAGAAGUUGACAGUGAAAAAGUCACUUGGCCUGAAAAUACAUGAGUAUGCCAAGGAAGGAAAUGAUGUGCUAAGUUGCUCUAUUACCAAGGCUUACUGAUUUCUACUCAUUUUAUAUUUUAUCCACUCCCUCUAAUCUUCACCAUGAAAAAAAUAAUAGUAUAUGUUUUUAUAGAAUACAUUUGUAGUUACAGAUUUCGGAAUCAUAUAGAGUAAAAUGUGGAAUAUUUCUAUAAGUCUGGAUAACUCUAAGUCUUGAAAGAAUUCAACUAUGUAAAAAUCAAUGAUUUUAAAACAAACAUUGAAUACACUGAUUGGUAAAAAGCUGUAUAGUUAAAUUUACCUAUCUAAUUUAGGUAGUUGAGUAGCCACAUGUAUAUUUUGCUCUUGUUUACCAUGAAAAUUAGACAUUUCCAUUUUACAUAAAUUGAAAUAUAAGUGCACUUAUGCUAAAGUGUUUUAGAAAGCAAUUUAGAUACUUAAAAGACAACUGUAACAUAUAAAUACUAAAUAAUAUGUUACAAAAACUGUGAGAAUUUAUAAAAUAUUUUGCAUGGCAAUGAGAGAAUUAAAUACUGUUUUAGCAGUUAUAUUUGGUAUUUAUGCUACCUCCAAUUACAAGAAAGAUAGGAGGAAGACAUAAACCUGAAAUAAAAUAAGUGCACAAUAAUCUCUUAUGGUUAAAUAUUUACUGAAAUAAAUUUGUAAUUUCUUAAUACUGUAGUAUUAACUUUGUUCAAAUAGCCCACAAUUUAAAAAGAAUAGCAAGUGUAAACUUUCAUGCCAAUCAGUGGAAAAUUUGGAAUUAAGCUCAUUUUAAAUUCUGAUAUGUUUAUAUACAUGCAUAAUAAUAGAUAUAAAUACAUGUCAUGAUUUCUGCUAUAUCUAGUAAAGUGUCUUAGAUUGUUGCUGUCUUUUUAAUUUAAUUAUCACAUAAUAUCUGAUACUUGUCUAAUCAUCCUUCUGCAUUUUUAGAGGCUAAUAUUAAUAUAAUUGUGAACAGACAAAACAUAUACAUGUAUACUGAUGCACAUUCACACACACAUAUACAGAAACUCCUACAGUCCAAAGCCUUCAAAAGAAGAGCCCAUG
rnacentral:lncRNA from 10 species